UACGGGGGGAGCAAGCGUUGUUCGGAUUUACUGGGCGUAAAGGGUGCGUAGGCGGUCGGGUAAGUCUGACGUGAAAUCUCCAAGCCUAACUUGGAAACUGCGUUGGAUACUAUCCGGCUCGAGGAAUGGAGGGGAGACUGGAAUACUUGGUGUAGCAGUGAAAUGCGUAGAUAUCAAGUGGAACACCAGUGGCGAAGGCGAGUCUCUGGACAUUUCCUGACGCUGAGGCACGAAAGCCAGGGGAGCAAACGGG
rnacentral:rRNA from 1 species